rnacentral:rRNA from 1 species
ACUCAAAUGAAUAGACGGGGGCCCGCACAAGCGGUGGAGCAUGUGGUUCAAUUCGAUGCUACGCGAAAAACCUUACCUAGGCUUGACAUCCCGUGCUAUCCGGCGAAAGUCGGAGUUCUCUUCGGAGACGCGGAGACAGGUGCUGCAUGGCUGUCGUCAGCUCGUGUUGUGAGAUGUUGGGUUAAGUCCCGCAACGAGCGCAACCCUCGUCACUAGUUGCCAUCAUUAAGUUGGGCACUCUAGUGAGACCGCUUGGCUAUAAGCCAGAGGAAGGUGGGGAUGACGUCAAGUCCUCAUGGCCUUUAUGUCUAGGGCAACACACGUGCUACAAUGGGAGGUACAAUGCGCUGCAAGCCGGCAACGGCAAGCUAAUCGCAAAAACCCUCUCUCAGUUCGGAUAGGAGUCUGCAACUCGACUCCUUGAAGCUGGAAUCGCUAGUAAUCGCGGAUCAGAACGCCGCGGUGAAUACGUUCCCGGGCCUUGUACACACCGCCCGU